rnacentral:rRNA from 1 species
GACAAGAAAUAACAAUACAAGGCAGUUAAAAUGCUUUGUAAUUGGAAUGAUAGAAAUUUAAACACUUUUUAAAGUAUCAAUUGGAGGGCAAGUCUGGUGCCAGCAGCCGCGGUAAUUCCAGCUCCAAUAGCGUAUAUUAAAAUUGUUGCAGUUAAAAAGCUCGUAGUUGAAUUUCUGUUAAAAAUAACCGGUCUGCUUUUAAUAAAAGUGGUAUCUUGGUGUGUUUUUAGCAAUAAUGUCCUUUGAAAUGUUUUUUACUUUAUUGUAAUAAAUAAUAUUCAGGAUUUUUACUUUGAGAAAAUUAGAGUGUUUCUAGCAGGCUAACGCUUUGAAUACUGCAGCAUGGAAUAAUAAAAUAGGAUUUUAGUUCUACAUUAUUGGUUUUAAGAACUAAAUUAAUGAUUGAUAGGGACAGUUGGGGGCAUUUGUAUUUAACUGUCAGAGGUGAAAUUCUUAGAUUUGUUAAAGACAAACUACUGCGAAAGCAUUUGCCAAAGAUGUUUUCAUUAAUCAAGAACGAAAGUUAGGGGAUCGAAGACGAUCAGAUACCGUCGUAGUCUUAACUAUAAACUAUGCCGACUAGAGAU